GACCCCGCGGCGUAUUAGCUAGUUAGUGAGGCAAUGGCUCACCAGGGCAAUGAUACGUAGCCGACCUGAGAGGGUGAUCGGCCACACUGGGACUGAGACACGGCCCAGACUCCUACGGGAGGCAGCAGUAGGGAAUCUUCCGCAAUGGACGAAAGUCUGACGGAGCAACGCCGCGUGAGUGAAGAAGGUUUUCGGAUCGUAAAACUCUGUUGUUAAAGAAGAACAAGGAUGAGAGUAACUGCUCAUCCCCUGACGGUAUUUAACCAGAAAGCCACGGCUAACUACGUGCCAGCAGCCGCGGUAAUACGUAGGUGGCAAGCGUUGUCCGGAUUUAUUGGGCGUAAAGCGAGCGCAGGCGGUUCUUUAAGUCUGAUGUGAAAGCCCCCGGCUCAACCGGGGAGGGUCAUUGGAAACUGGAGAACUUGAGUGCAGAAGAGGAGAGUGGAAUUCCACGUGUAGCGGUGAAAUGCGUAGAUAUGUGGAGGAACACCAGUGGCGAAGGCGACUCUCUGGUCUGUAACUGACGCUAAAGCUCGAAAGCGUGGGGAGCAAACAGG
rnacentral:rRNA from 1 species